AAGUCGUAACAAGGUUUCCGUAGGUGAACCUGCGGAAGGAUCAUUAUCGGGAGUGCCCUCGUGGCUCAACCUGCAACCCCAUGUUUAUCAAACCCUUGUUUCUUUGGCGGGCCCGCCCGUCAGAAGAAUACCGAAACUCGUUGUCAACGUGUCCUCUGAAUCACAAAAAGAAAUAAGCAAAACUUUCAACAACGGAUCUCUUGGUUCUG
rnacentral:misc_RNA from 1 species